rnacentral:misc_RNA from 1 species
UCCGGUUUAACACCGGCAGUCUCUUUAGAGUCCCCAACUUAAUGAUGGUAACUAAAGACAAGGGUUGCGCUCGUUAUUGGACUUAACCAGACAUCUUACGACACGAGCUGACGACAGCCAUGCAGCACCUAUCCUCGCGUCCCCGAAGGGAACUCCACAUCUCUGUGGAUAGCACGAAAUGUUAAGGGUAGGUAAGGUUCUGCGCGUUGCUUCGAAUUAAACCACAUACUCCACCGCUUGUGCGGGCCCCCGUCAAUUCCUUUGAGUUUUAGCCUUGCGACCGUACUCCCCAGGCGGGAUACUUAAUGCGUUAGCUUUGGUACUCAGAGGGUUAACUCUCCAAACACCUAGUAUCCAUCGUUUACGGCGUGGACUAC